rnacentral:rRNA from 1 species
AUUGAACGCUGGCGGCGUGCCUAACACAUGCAAGUCGAACGAAGCACAUACGACAGAACUCUUCGGAGGGAAGAUGUAUGUGACUGAGUGGCGGACGGGUGAGUAACGCGUGGGUAACCUGCCCUAUACAGGGGGACAACAGUUGGAAACGACUGCUAAUACCGAAUAAGUUCCAAGAGCCGCAUGGCCCAUGGAAGAAAGGUGGCCUCUACCUGUAAGCUAUCGCCUGAAGAGGGGUUUGCGUCUGAUUAGCUGGUUGGAGGGGUAACGGCCCACCAAGGCGACGAUCAGUAGCCGGUCUGAGAGGAUGAACGGCCACACUGGAACUGAGACACGGUCCAGACUCCUACGGGAGGCAGCAGUGGGGAAUCUUCCGCAAUGGGCGAAAGCCUGACGGAGCAACGCCGCGUGAGUGAUGACGGCCUUCGGGUUGUAAAC